rnacentral:rRNA from 1 species
GACGAAGGAUGCAAGCGUUAUCCGGAUUCAUUGGGUUUAAAGGGUGCGUAGGCGGGCAGGUAAGUCAGUGGUGAAAUCUCCGGGCUUAACCCGGAACUGCCGUUGAUACUAUCUGUCUUGAAUAUCGUGGAGGUAAGCGGAAUAUGUCAUGUAGCGGUGAAAUGCUUAGAUAUGACAUAGAACACCCAUUGCGAAGGCAGCUUACUACACGAUCAUUGACGCUGAGGCACGAAAGCGUGGGGAGCAAACAGG